rnacentral:piRNA from 1 species
UAAUACAGGUCGUUGGGAAACACACUCCCUG